AAUAAAAUUGUACAAAACUUUCACAAUUUAAGUCAAAAAAAAAUUUAAUGGAGGCAAAAUCCUAAUUUUUUUAAUGCACCCAAUUUCAAUAGAGCCAAAAUCUUAAUUUUUUCAAUGGAGGUAAAAAAAAAAAAAUUGAGAUAAAAUCCAAAUUUUUUCAAUGGAGGCAAAAACAAAUUUUAAUGGAGCCAAAAUAAAAAUUAAUAGAGCCAAAAUAAAAAUUAAUAGAGCCAAAUACCAAGUACCAACUAAACCCUUUCUCAUCAAAACACCUAAAACUCAAAAUUGUUCCUCUUUCACCCAAUCUGAGCCCUAAUUUUAGCCCCAAUCUGAGCCCCAAUCAUUCUCUUCUCCUUCUCGCCGUUCUCACUGUUCUCCUUCAGCCAAUCUGAGCCCUAAUCUGAGCCCCAAUCUGAGCCCCAAUAGUUGUCUUCCCCUUCUCGCCGUUCUCACUGUUCUCCUUCAGCCAAUCUGAGCCCUAAUCUGAGCCCCAAUCUGAGCCCCAAUAGUUGUCUUCCCCUUCUCGCCGUUCUCACUGUUCUCCUUCAGCCAAUCUGAGCCCUAAUCUGAGCCCCAAUCUGAGCCCCAAUAGUUGUCUUCUCCUUCUCGCCGUUCUCACUCAAAACUGCCGUUCUCGCCGUUCUCGCUGUUCUCGCCGUUCUCGCCG
rnacentral:lncRNA from 1 species